rnacentral:rRNA from 1 species
AUUGAACGCUGGCGGCAUGCCUUACACAUGCAAGUCGAACGGUAACGGGCCUUCGGGUGCCGACGAGUGGCGAACGGGUGAGUAAUACAUCGGAACGUGCCCGAUCGGGGGGGAUAACGAGGCGAAAGCUUUGCUAAUACCGCAUACGAUCUACGGAUGAAAGCGGGGGACCGCAAGGCCUUGGGCGGACGGAGCGGCCGAUGGCAGAUUAGGUAGUUGGUGGGAUAAAAGCUUACCAAGCCGACGGUCUGUAGCUGGUCUGAGAGGAUGAGCGGCCACACGGGGAGUGAGACACGGCCCAGACUCCUACGGGAGGCAGCAGUGGGGAAUUUUGGACAAUGGGCGCAAGCCUGAUCCAGCCAUGCCGCGUGCAGGAUGAAGGCCUUCGGGUUGUAAACUGCUUUUGUACGGAACGAAAAGCCUUCUUCUAAUACAGGAGGGUCAUGACGGUACCGUAAGAAUAAGCACCGGCUAACUACGUGCCAGCCGCCGCAGUAA